CCCAAAGAUCAGAUUCGGGGCGAUCUUUUCCUCCUGGGACGGGAGAGUACUGCUGGAUAGAUUUAUGCGUUUCAGGCAAUGACACCGAUCGCGUUCGCACGUCGCGCUCGGCGACGACCACCUCAUGUAUCGUCUUCGUGGAGCUGUGGCCUGUGGAUGCAUCGAAUCUGUAGCUAUAACUGUACUAUGUCUGCUGAUCAUCCUUUUUCGUCUAUUAUCCUCCAAAUGUGGGUUUUAUCCGAGUUCAUGGUGUUUCCUCAUCUUUUUUCGGUGCCAACUGACCGAUAAUCUUGUGAACCUUACACGUUUCUUUGGAAUCUUAUCUCUAAAGCGCGUACCGAGAGCGCGUCCUCGUUGAUCCACAUCAUCAGGAAAACGAGAACCGUCAGAUCACGAUUGUGCGGUCGCAUCUUCACCCUCCCCGUUCGUUCUGGAAGACUUCAGCUCACCCGUGCUCUCCACGUGCCACUGCGCUCGUGAAAAAUCGCUCGUGCUCUCCACGCCGUCCUCUCCCUCCGCGUCGGCUGAUGUUGUCGGAGCCGCCGUUCGCGAGGUCCCCCGAAGUGUCUGCCUCCACCUCUACGGACGCCUCUCCUCCGUAGGACGCCGGGGGUGGCGGGGGUAGCGCAGCGUCAGGGGCCCUGAAGAUGAACACGCUCUGGGCGACGUGAUGGCUCUGUUUGCCCCGCAUGGCACGUGCAAUUGCGCCCUCACCUGCUCCGGAUCCCGUAGCUACACCUUCGUCCUCUUCCGCUCCCCCGCGGAGGCCCGCGUCGUAGUCGAGGCAACACAGGGCGCCAAGGUCAAGGGCGCCGCCAUGCGCACCGAGUUCGCAUGACCAGUAAUUUAUCUUGCCCACUGCCCCGACGGGAUCUACUCCCUCCCACCUAGAUUUUCCCAUGUGAUUUUGCUGCAGUUGGUGCUUCCGCGUUCUUAUUUUUGCGGUAGCUAGGAUUUAAGUCCCCGCCGGCCCCUUCUUCGUCGCCCGCUACUUCGUCGCCCGCUACUGCCGUCAAGUUGCCUCGCCCUCCUCGCACCCGUUGCAAGAUUGGUCGCACAGAAUUUGAGAGUUAACAGCAGUGACUGUGUCUGCUUGUUGAGAUGCAAGGUUAUUACGACAUUGAUGACAUCCUCACGGAGUUGGUGGUAGUUAAGGAUGCUUGCUUUAUUCUCUCUCUUGCACGCUUGUCUUAAUAGACGACCUGAAUAUGUUCCUGCUCUGAGUGCAGCCUAUUUUUGUUUUUUAUCAAGUAACUGCAAAUGCUGUUGUCCCGCUAGAUUCUGGCACCGAAAGUAACUGUGUAAGUGCCUGUUCAAUGACUAUAUGAUGAAUGUAUUUUUAUUGUUCGGGUAUAUAUAUCUGCUUAAGAUAUGUUGAAAAAUCUCUUCUGUCGCGAUAAUUCUCGAAUGGAAUUGUUUUGGAAUUUUACAAAGUUGAAUAGUAGUUAGUUGAGAUUCUUCUUAUGUAGUGUUCGGUUUCUUAUAUUGGCCAGUCUACCGUUGAAAGUUGAAUUGGAUGCCUUGCAUUGUGAAUACCUUUUUAAAAAUAGAUGUUCUUGUCUUCUUGAUAUCCAGGUUGAAAAAGGUGCUAAGGUGGACCUCCCAUUUUGGCUUGCACGCGGGCUACUGUCUCUGGAACAAGCGGUGUGAAUAAAUCUACCUCCAUGCUUCACACAGAAGUAGGUUUGUAGCGCUUGUUGCUGCAUUGCUUCAUACACACAAAUUCUUAUACAACAACAGUAAAGUACAAAAGAUCAUAUAGUAUUCUUAGUUUGUCAAAUACAUUUCAAAUUUCUUUCUAGAGCUUAGUUAUGAAGGGAUCUGGCUCAUCUUGCCUCAUUUUUCUCUCAACCUUGCUUUCAUAAUGUUUUCAUAUUGUAUACUACUACAAUUUGUCACAUAAAUAGUAUUACAUUGAUCAACCUUGCUU